rnacentral:rRNA from 1 species
AUUAUUAGUAAAAUCUGCUCAAUGCAUAAGUCAAUAGCCGCAAACUCUGUGCUAAGGUAGCAAAAUCAUUUGUCUUCUAAUUAAAGACUAGAAUGAACGAUUCAACGAUUGAAUCACUAUAUCUUUUUAUAAUUUUUAAAUUUCCUUAAAAUUAAAAACCAUUUUAUUAAUAAGAAAGACGACAAGACCCUAUUGAACUUAACUUUAGUUUAACUGGGGCAGUUAACUAAUUAACACUUUAGUAAAAAUAUCACAAAACCUGACCCAUUAUCAUUGAAUAAUGAUCAAGUUACCAUAGGGAUAACAGCGCAAUUCCUUUUACAAGUUCUUAUAAAAAAAGGAGAUUACGACCUCGAUGUUGAAUUAAUUAUCUAUUUAACGCAACCGUUAAAAAAGUAAGUCUGUUCGACUUUUAAUAAAUUACAUGAUUUGAGUUCAGACCGGCGCAAGCCAGGUCGGUUUCUAUCUUCUUUUAAUUUUCCCUAGUACGAAAGGACCUGGAAAAUU